rnacentral:rRNA from 1 species
UACGUAGGGGGCAAGCGUUGUCCGGAAUCAUUGGGCGUAAAGCGCGUGUAGGCGGCCCGUUACGUCCGCUGUGAAAGUCCAGGGCUCAACCCUGGGAUGCCGGUGGAUACUGUCGGGCUCGAGUCCGGAAGAGGCGAGUGGAAUUCCUGGUGUAGCGGUGAAAUGCGCAGAUAUCAGGAAGAACACCCGUGGCGAAGGCGGCCCACUGGGCCGGUGCUGACGCUGAGGCGCGAAGGCGUGGGGAGCGAACGGG